GUUUUGGGUUUUCAACACCAGUGAAAAAAGUGCAUUUUCAUACCUGCGAUUUCUGUUCUCCGGUUGUACGAUGUUUCAACAAAAUAUGGAAUCAUUUCAGUUGUUGAUUUAGUGGUGAAAAUUUGACUGAAUUAUAUCUUAAUAAAUACGAUUUUAUAUGUUUAAUUGGUGUUUCAGAAAGAGGUCAGGUGCUCUUGUUCAUUCAUAAAAUAUCGUUCAUUCAUAAAUUUAUCAUAAAAUAAAAAUCACUACACAGGUACGUGUAGUGUAAAUGACCACCUGUAAUCUAAAAAUAGCGGUCUCACUAAUAACGACAAGAAGAAUUUUAGCGACAAGAAGCGUCAAGAACGGACAAGAAAAAUAAAUUAAGCGACAAGAAGACUAUUUAGCGACAUGAAAACUUCUCGUAUCGCAUGAGGAUGACACAUAUCAAAUGAACAAUUAUGUGUGGGACUUAGUUUUAAGAAAUGAUGUCAAAGUAACACUAUGAAAAUAUUUUUAGUAAGCUGAAAUAUAUAUUUAUUUUUUACAUGUUCAUGUCUUGUAAGUUAUUUUAUUUCUGUCCCAUUUUUCAACAUUAGCGUCUCGAAAGGUGAAAUUUUUUAACUGAAUGGUUAAUUUAAAUUAAUUAUGAAAAUUGUUAAAAUUAAAUAAAUAAAAGUAAUUAUUGCCCAGUUACAAACACUACCAGGGGAUAAUCCAUAAUUACCCCCAACUUUAGCCUGGUAAACUUGUUGUCUCCUUGUGAAAUAUAAAACAUAUUAAAAAUGAUUUCCUGCUUAAGUCUUUUAUUGAUAUAAAGUCAAAACCUUCUUGCUUUUCACUAGACAACCAUGUCCUGUCAGGUUUAAUUCUUAUAUAUGUAGAUGAAAAAUAAAAGUCCCCAAAACAUUAACAUGGCAGCAAUUGCUUUUACAGCCUUUAAGGCUUUGAUUUUUUUACAGAAGAGUGUCCACCAUGCACUUGCACUGCACUAUAAUAAUAGUAGAAUAGAAUUAUCAUAUACAAAUAGAUGAAAAUUAGAUAUACAU
rnacentral:lncRNA from 1 species